rnacentral:lncRNA from 10 species
GUUCAAGAUGGGGAGGGGUUGGGGUGAGGGCUGGCCUGUCUGAGGAGGGGCAUUUGCAGUGCUGGAGCAAGCCAUGGAGGACAGGAAUUGCUCCAGUCAGAGGAACAGCAAGGACAAGGGGCCCAAGACGGCAUGUACUAGAGGCUCCACGCAUAGAAAAAGCCAGCCAUCCCCAGCGCUGUAACUGAGUGGCCAGUGGUGGGAGAAUUGGGACAUUGGCUUUUUCCUGCCUCUACACUACAACUACACCAUCAAGCCUUCAGACAUGGAAAGGAACCACACUAUUGGCUCUCCUCGGUCUUCAGCUUGCCAACUCAAUGCAGAUCUUUGCAUUUGUCAGCCUUAUAACCAUGUGAGCUAAUUCCCUAAAAUAAAUGUCCUCAUUUAAAUGUAUUUCCUAUUGCUGUUUCUCUAGAGAACUCUAAUACAACCCCAUACAAAAGUACACCACACUAGAAGAAUUGGGUUAAAUCGAAUUACAAAAAAAAGAAGAAGAUUAAACUCAUAUGCUCAUAAUUUGGGACUUUCAUGUUUGUAAUUAUCUGCUAAAUUCC